UACGUAGGGGGCUAGCGUUGUCCGGAAUCAUUGGGCGUAAAGCGCGUGUAGGCGGUUCGGUAAGUCGGCUGUGAAAGUCCAGGGCUCAACCCUGGGAUGCCGGUCGAUACUGCCGGACUAGAGUUCGGAAGAGGCGAGUGGAAUUCCCGGUGUAGCGGUGAAAUGCGCAGAUAUCGGGAGGAACACCAAUGGCGAAGGCAGCUCGCUGGGACGUUACUGACGCUGAUCUGCGAAAGCUAGGGGAGCAAACAGG
rnacentral:rRNA from 1 species